AAAGAGCUACAACCGCUCAAGAACAGGUUUUUAAGCUAGUUUCUAGCACCUGCAAUGGCGAGUCUUAGUAUUAGA
rfam:Anaerobacillus macyae strain DSM 16346 scaffold2, whole genome shotgun sequence.